AGCCUCACAACGGGCUAUUUGCUCAGCAGGGAGCCUGCUUCUCCCUCUCCCUCUGCCCCUCUUCGCCAUUCGUGCUCUAGCUCACUUGCUCUCACCUAAAAUCAUUAAAUAAAUAAACAAACAAACAAAUAAAUAAAUAAAUAGGUGACUCCUUUCCAGAAAGUUUUCAAUGUACUUUGCCCAGAUCCAUCAGAGGAAUCAUUAUGCCAACUAUAGCCUUAUGAGUUGUAUUUCUGAAAUUUUAAGACUUGAAAGUCAAAAUGACUCCUGGACCCAUGGGCUACAAAAUUAAUGCUGUUAGCAGGCAUGAAAGCAAUAUUCAUCUCCUCCGUCUCCAUCAGAAAUCUUUGGGUGGACCAGAUGUAUUGUCAAUGAGCAGUAAUUUGAAAGAACUUUUUUCUGAGCUGGUCUCAAGAGUAGGCUCAGUAAAGCAUGUUGUAAACAGAUGUACUGUCAUCCAGGCUUUGUUCUUAUUUAUGGAGCACAGAGUACAUUUAGCAUAAUUCUGAAGGGUCCGUGGAUUUUCAGAAUGGUCAGUGAACACUGGUAUCAGCUGAAAGUCACCAGCUGCAUUAGCCCCUAACAGAAAGUCUGGGGAAAAGCGGGGAACAACCAGUUAGGGAAGCAGAACACACAUAACCUUUAUCCAGUAACUUUGCCCUCUAAGAUGGGCAUGGUUCAUGGCACCCUAAAACAAAGUAACAUCAAAGAUCACAGAUCACCAUAACAAAUAUAAUGAAGUUUGAAAUACUGUGAGAAGUACCAAAUGUGAGAGACAUGAAAUGAGCAAAUUCUCUUGGGAAAAUGGCACUGAUAGGCUUGCUCCAUAAGGGUUUGCCACAGACCUUCAAUUUGUCAAAACAAAAACAAAACCCAGUAUCUGCAAAGUACAGUUAAAGGAAUUAGGGCUGUAUUUAGAUCCAAAAUACUGGUACACAGGCCCCACAUUUAGAUUUGGGGCAAUCGGGUUUUAGAAUUACUGCCCAAGAUAGGUGGUCGCUGAUGGCUGGUCAACUUGCCAGGGGCAGGAGCACACUAACGACCUCACACCUUUUCUGCUUAGGUUUCCCGCAUCACUCAGGAUUGUAAGUUCCAUUUGACAAAUAAUCACCCUGAGUCUGAUGUAUUUUGAAAAUUGAGAUCACAGUAAUCUUCAGACUUAACAGUGAUUAGGUGAAGGUUUUGAACCUUUAGAACCAUUUUGUUAGAAAUGUAGCCUCGAAAGCCUCACUCCAGGGGCGCCUGUCUGGCUCAGUUGGAGGAGCAUGCGACUCUUGAUCUUGGGGUAGGGAGUUUGAGCCUCACCUCGGGUGUGGAGAUUAUUUAAAAAAUACUUUAAAUAAAAAAGAAAGUUCAUGCCAGAUGGGCUGAAUGAGAAUUUACAUUUUAAUAAGAUCCUCAAUGGUGAUUCAUAGGCACAGAAAAAUUUGCAAAGCACUGUUUUAAAACUUUCUUCCAGAGCAAAAUGAAAUCUUAAUAGCCUGUUCAAUAGAUAUCUUUUAACAUGACAUCAAAGUAACAUCAGUAUUGAAUGAUUUUCCUCACCUAAACUCAGAGAAAAUGCUUUUAUUUUAUAUUUCGGAGAGGCAGAUAGUUUUACCAGAUAUUUUACUCUGGUGAGUUUCAAUAUACUAGCAUUUAAGUCAUUACAUACAUCCCAAAUAUAUUAGAGCAGUGUUGCUCUACUGUGUGGUCUGAGGACCAGCUGCAGCUUGUUAAAAAUACAGAUUCUCAAAUCCCACUCUAACCUACUGAAUCAAAAUCUCUGCAGGUGGGGCCAUGAAAUUUAAGCUUUAAACUCUUCAGGUCAUUCUUCAGGCAUAUUGAAGUUUGACAUGCACUGUAUUAGUACAUCUCAGAAUACCUGUUGUUUAUCUUUCCUUUAAAGGAAAUAAUAAAUGAUUGAACUUGUGA